GACGUAGGAUGCAAGUGUUAUCCGGAAUCACUGGGCGUAAAGCGUCUGUAGGUGGUCAAAUAAGUCAACUGUUAAAUCUUGAGGCUUAACCUCAAAAUCGCAGUCGAAACUAUUAGACUAGAGUAUAGUAGGGGUAAAGGGAAUUUCCAGUGUAGCGGUGAAAUGCGUAGAGAUUGGAAAGAACACCGAUGGCGAAGGCACUUUUCUGGGCUAUUACUAACACUCAGAGACGAAAGCUAGGGUAGCAAAUGGG
rnacentral:rRNA from 1 species